GAUGGAAAAUAGAAACAAGAUGGAGAAAGAAGGAAGAAGAGAGUAGAGAAGGUGACCAAAAUUGAUAUUCCUUUGAAGAAAAGAGAGAGAAAAUAGUUAAGAGGAAAUCCGUUCUAAAAGCAUGGUGUGUUAAGAAAAGCAGAGCGCGGGUAGCGAAGACGCUCUCGUGGAGCGCGUGAAAGCAGGUGAGAGUGGGAUUGGCAUAGGAAGAAGAAGAAGAAGAAGGAGAAGGAAGUGAACCAAAAUUAUUCUUUGCUCCUUUACUACUCCUUCCUUCCCUUCCCUCUCUUCUCUUCUCUUCUCAAUUCUCAUUCUCUCUCUCUCUCUCUUCUGCAACCAUUUAAGGUUUGGGACUAAUUGCUACUGUUUUUUAAUUCCAUUUUCCCUUUCUCCUUGCGUUUCUUGCUGCUUUGUCGUUCUCCCAAUGUGCGUGCUUCCUCAAUUGGAGCUCCGCGAACCUCCAAUUAGGGUUCUUGCUGUUGCUAUACUGUCGCCGAUUGGGUUUCGGGAUGUGUAUCCGCGAGUGGAUUGAGGAGAAUGGAUAUUUUUUGGUCUGUUGAUUGCCGUUGGAUUGUUGUUGGUUGAGGGUGUGAUUAGUGCAAUCUGAUUUUGAGUGAAGAUGGUUUUGUGACGUGGUUGAGUGAGUGUUUUUUUGUAGGAGAAGGUUUGUUACUGUUGUUGUUGUUGUUGUGUUGGUUUGUUUUGUUGAAGAGUUUGGAACGUGGUCGGCGGACAAGAAGAACUGAAUUUUUGUUGGAUGGGUAAUAAACUUGGGAGGAGGAGACAAGUGGUGGAUGAGAAAUAUACGAGGCCGCAAGGGUUGUAUAAUCAUAAAGAUGUGGAUCAUAAGAAACUGAGGAAGCUGAUACUUGAAUCGAAGCUUGCACCUUGUUAUCCUGGAGAUGAAGAAACCGCCUUGGAUCGCGAAGAGUGCCCAAUUUGCUUUCUGUAUUAUCCAAGUCUAAACCGAUCAAGAUGUUGCACAAAGAGCAUUUGUACAGAGUGCUUUUUGCAGAUGAAAGUUCCAAAUUCAACUCGGCCUACACAAUGUCCCUUCUGCAAAACAGCAAAUUAUGCUGUGGAGUAUCGUGGUGUGAAAUCAAAAGAAGAGAAGGGGUUGGAACAGAUUGAAGAGCAACGUGUUAUAGAGGCAAAAAUUAGGAUGCGGCAGCAGGAGCUUCAGGAUGAAGAGGAAAGAAUGCACAAAAGACUAGAAAUGAGCUCUUCAAAUGUGAAUGUGGCAGUUGCAGAUGUUGAAUACAGUUCAAAUGCGGUGUCUGCAUCUUCAAUCUCUGUUGUUGAACAUGAUGAAAUUGUUUCUUCUCAAGACUCAUGUGCCACAUCAGCGGUUAGACCAAAUGCAACCACUCGGACCAAUAGAGAUGAUGAAUUUGAUGUUGACCUUGAGGACAUUAUGGUCAUGGAAGCUAUUUGGCUUUCCAUUCAGGAGAAUGGCAGGCAGAGAAAUUUAUCUUUUGCUGAUGCUACUUCUGGACACUACGUAGCUGAUGGUCGCUAUGUUUCAUCUGUCACGGCUCCGGCUCCGGCUCCGGCUCCGGCUCCACCAACGGGAUCAUCCUCAUCUCCAUCUGGGGGUCUUGCUUGUGCCAUCGCAGCUCUUGCUGAGCGGCAGCAAAUGGCUGGAGAAUCAUCUAUGAACUUCACCAAUGAAAAUAUGUCAUCAUUCAACGCUCUACAGGGUUCCAGAAGGUUUUAUAACAGACUAGGUAGGGAUAUGAUUAGUUAUCCACCUACUGACAACCUCAAUGAGGAGCCACCAGAUGAUGCUGUGGCGAUAACUAGGAGCCAUGGGGAAUGGGAUACAGACCAUGGGACACAUUUGACUGAAACAGCAACUGGCUACACAAACUCAGUUGCAGCAGAAGAUCAUGGUGAACUAUCUUCUUUGCCAGAGUCUGAUCACAUUGAUGGAAACCUUCAAACUGCCACGGAACCUAUUAUUCCUGAGAGCUUUGAGGAGCAGAUGAUGCUUGCUAUGGCCGUCUCUUUGGCUGAAGCCCGAGCCAUGUCAACUGGACAGAGUGCUUCUUGGCAGUAGUUUUUGGUUUAGGUGCUGGUUUAAUCUUUCUUAAAUUGGUGAUGCUUGCCUUGGCUAUCUGGUAAGCCGAGUCCAAGGUUUGAGAAUUUGAGGAAAGUUCACUGGUGUGCAAUUUGUUCAAAAGGAUAAGUAACAAAGUGCACUCUACUGAAGUUAGUGCGUUGGGUAAAUGGGUGGAUUUGGCAGAUUUUUUGGACCUAGGAAGGGAUAGGAUUCAAAACGAGGAUUCUCAACGAAGCCCCCGCACCCGUCCUCCUCUCAUUCUUUUAUUUGCUUCACACGCGUAGGUGAAAUGCAAAGGCAGCCUUAAUUCUCGUUAAACUGUUUUAUGGCAAGCUGUAUAGCUUCCCUGUGAAGAAGUGUUCUAUCAUGUGAAGUUUUGUUCAUGAUAAUUGUGGGUGAACUUCAUUAUAUUUUGAGAAUGUUAUUUACACAGAUGAUACCUCACACACUUUUUUUUUAUCUCAUUAUCUUGCACAUACCCAUUUUUCUUUUCUGAGGUCUGUAUUUUACCUUUAUCUGUACAUGUAUAUUUUCUCAUUUGUUAUUUUCCGUGGGUGACAUUGAAAAAUAUAUGGAAGGUGAUGUACUUGUGUUAUU